GACGAACGCGGCGGCGUGCCUAAUACAUGCAAGUAGAACGCUGAAGGAGGAGCUUGCUUCUCGGAUGAGUUGCGAACGGGUGAGUAACGCGUAGGUAACCUGCCUGGUAGCGGGGGAUAACUAUUGGAAACGGUAGCUAAUACCGCAUAAUAGUAGAUGUUGCAUGACAUUUGCUUAAAAGGUGCAAUUGCAUCACUACCAGAUGGACCUGCGUUGUAUAGCUAGUUGGUGAGGUAACGGCUCACCAAGGCGACGAUACAUAGCCGACCUGAGAGGGUGAUCGGCCACACUGGGACUGAGACACGGCCCAGACUCCUACGGGAGGCAGCAGUAGGGAAUCUUCGGCAAUGGACGGAAGUCUGACCGAGCAACGCCGCGUGAGUGAAGAAGGUUUUCGGAUCGUAAAGCUCUGUUGUAAGAGAAGAACGAGUGUGAGAGUGGAAAAGUUCACACUG
rnacentral:rRNA from 1 species